GCACGAGUCCAGAAACCACUAAACAUACACCAAGAGUACCACAAACCCUUACAGAGGUCAACAGAUAAGAUCCAAAGAUACACAAAACCACUUAUACUAUUAUUACGAUAACAAAGGUGAGAUCUUUACUACCAGAUCAGAGCUGGCCGCAGUCAGCAAUGACGACCGGCUUCGAGGUCGCCCCGCUGGCCGAUCCCACCUUCUCCGCCGCCUUCACGACAUCCAGCCCCUCCACCACCUGCCCG
rnacentral:misc_RNA from 1 species